AUGACAAAGGGAACGCCCUUGUUUGUAGUGUUGCAAUAACACUCGCUCUUGGGCCACCACUGUGGUCUAAGAUCUAUCACCUGCAGAAGUGACCUGUGGCAAGUGUGGCUACUCUGCCAAGCACAGGAGAAAGUAUAACUGGAGUGCCAAGGCUAAAAGACAAAAUACCACUGGGACUGGUUGAAUGAGGCAGCUAAAAAUUGUGUACAGCAGGUUCAGGCAUGGAUUCCACGAAGAAACAACACCUAAGCCCAAGAGAGCAGCUGCU
rnacentral:lncRNA from 1 species